UGGCUUAGUCAGUAGAGCAUGUGACUCUUGAUCUCACGGUUGUGAGUUCAAGCCUCAC
rnacentral:tRNA from 1 species